rnacentral:rRNA from 1 species
GUGCCACAGCCGCGGUAAUACGUAGGUGGCAAGCGUUAUCCGGAUUCACUGGGCGUAAAGCGCGUGCAGGCGGUUUCGUAAGUCGGACGUGAAAGCUCCUGGCUUAACUGGGAGAGGUCGUUCGAUACUGCGGGGCUUGAGGUCGGGAGAGGGACGUGGAAUUCCCGGUGUAGUGGUGGAAUGCGUAGAUAUCGGGAGGAACACCAGUGGCGAAGGCGACGUCCUGGCCCGCACCUGACGCUGAGACGCGAAAGCGUGGGUAGCAAACGGG